rnacentral:rRNA from 1 species
CCUACGGGAGGCAGCAGUGAGGAAUAUUGGUCAAUGGACGAGAGUCUGAACCAGCCAAGUAGCGUGAAGGAUGACUGCCCUAUGGGUUGUAAACUUCUUUUAUAUGGGAAUAAAAUGUUCCACGUGUGGGAUUUUGUAUGUACCAUAUGAAUAAGGAUCGGCUAACUCCGUGCCAGCAGCCGCGGUAAUACGGAGGAUCCGAGCGUUAUCCGGGUUUAUUGGGUUUAAAGGGAGAGUAGGUGGAUUGUUAAGUCAGUUGUGAAAGUUUGCGGCUCAACCGUAAAAUUGCAGUUGAAACUGGCAGUCUUGAGUACAGUAGAGGUGGGCGGAAUUCGUGGUGUAGCGGUGAAAUGCUUAGAUAUCACGAAGAACUCCGAUUGCGAAGGCAGUUCACUGGACUGCAACUGACACUGAGGCUCGAAAGUGUGGGUAUCAAACAGGAUUAGAUACCCGAGUAGUC